rnacentral:misc_RNA from 1 species
GUGCAUUUACAGCUGUUGAAUUAAAAUAUAUUCCCAAUCAGAAUCAGAUUAAGACAUAAAGCUAGAAAAUUUAUUCCAGGAAGAUACGGAGAUUGUGUCUGCCAAAAAAUCAGAAAGAUGGGUUCUGGUCCUCGCUUUAAGCAGCACAACUUAGUGCUGGUGGGAUUAAAAUACCAACAUUUAUCCUUCAUUGCAAUACCUAUACAGGGAAAAUUUAUCAAAGCAUCUUUGUCAUGUACAUAGUAAAAACAUAAUGACAGGUCUCAUGCUCUAAAUUAGAAACAUAUAGAAAGGCAGCAUUUUCAGUGAAUCAACUGCCCUUCAUCAGUUACAUUCUGCAACUAAUUUCACAGAACACAACGCCUUAAGCAGUUAAAACUUAUCAAUUGAUUCAUUAUUAUUUAAUUCAAUAAUUUUGACAGCAUGGCUCAUAUAAUCCAUCAAUUCUAGACGAUUUCUCAACAAUUUCACUAGCAUAUGACAAUGAAAAGAUAGCAUCAACCCUUCAAUGUAUACCCUUGACCUGCAACAUUUAAAGAAUCUAAAUUCUUAACGAUAACGCAUUGCUCAACAUAUAUUUGUGAGGCAGCAUCCUUGCAUCCAUUACACUGUUUUUCUUCUCUUAACAGUAUUUGAUCUUCAUAAAUAGCCAUCUUCCGCAUCACAGCACCAUAACAACUCUUCCAUUCUUGGAGCUCAUUGCCUGCCACCACUGCAUUCCUUGAAAUUUUUAAAGGCACCUAUUUCCACUUGCAAAUCACCACCACCAUAAUCAAGGAAACUUAUUAAUCCUUUUUAUCCACAUUUUCAUCAAUUUGGAGAUGAUUUGUGACAAUGCCAACAAAAUAUCAUCUCUCAUAUCAACUUCCUCCACUUAAAUGUUCUUUCCCAACAUUUCCGGUAAGUUUUUACCAUCAGCAUAUUCCUCUUUUAUGCGAACAAUGCUUUCACUCCUUUUAACAUCAUCAAAACCACAUGGCUUUAUUGCACAUUUUGAGUCUUCUUACUGUUACCUUGAUGUAAGUCCUUCAACUCAUAAUUCAUUCAUACUAGUUUUAUUGUUCAACACUGAACAUCUCGUCUCUCCUCAUGCCUUCCUCUUAACAUCUGUAUCUUUGCCAGCCAAUUUUAUAUUCAAUUUUCUAAUUCUCUUUUCUUGUAAUCAAGUUCACCAAUGAUGUUUCUACUUCCUUGGAAGACUCCAUGCCAUGGUUCAUAUGCCAAAAUAUGUCUCUCUCCUCCAAGUUUCCACAAUUGCAAAACAUGAUAAAAAAAUCCCAAUUAUGACAACCCGAAAGUUUGUGGAUGCAUUGGAAUGCAAGUUUGAGGAACAUAACCCUCUUUCCUCAGCUCUAAAAGA